rnacentral:rRNA from 1 species
GACAGAGGUGGCAAGCGUUGUUCGGAUUUACUGGGCGUAAAGGGUGCGUAGGUGGUUAGGUAAGACCUGCGGGAAAGACCUGGGCUUAACCCAGGAAGGUCACAGGUGACUGCCUAGCUUGAGGGCGGGAGAGGAGAGCGGAAUUCCCGGUGUAGCGGUGAAAUGCGUAGAUAUCGAGAGGAACACCAGUGGCGAAGGCGAGUCCCUGGACAACUCCUGACACUGAGGCACGAAAGCUAGGGGAGCAAACAGG